UUUAUCAUUUUUUUUAAAUACUUGGAGCCUCCAAUAUUGAUCUAUUAUUGAAAGGAAGAAAAAAACGAAAAAGAAUAAAAUACAUUCAAAAUGAAAACAAUAAAAAAGAAAAAGCAUGAAAAGAGUUUUGGGCCUGCGUGAUUUGAUGCCCAGCCGCACAGUGGGCGGUGAAUUGCACGCGCUCCAACUGUGCGGUGUUGGAGGCGUGUAUUCUCCAAACGCGCGUCACCCAAAACAAAGUGGACCCCAUUGCGUCAGCCAAGAACCAAC
rnacentral:lncRNA from 1 species